rnacentral:rRNA from 1 species
GACGAACGCUGGCGGCGUGCCUAAUACAUGCAAGUGGGACGCAAGGGAACACACUGUGCUUGCACACCGUGUUUUCUUGAGUCGCGAACGGGUGAGUAACGCGUAGGUAACCUGCCUAUUAGCGGGGGAUAACUAUUGGAAACGAUAGCUAAUACCGCAUAAUAUUAAUUAUUGCAUGAUAAUUGAUUGAAAGAUGCAAGCGCAUCACUAGUAGAUGGACCUGCGUUGUAUUAGCUAGUUGGUAAGGUAAGAGCUUACCAAGGCGACGAUACAUAGCCGACCUGAGAGGGUGAUCGGCCACACUGGGACUGAGACACGGCCCAGACUCCUACGGGAGGCAGCAGUAGGGAAUCUUCGGCAAUGGACGAAAGUCUGACCGAGCAACGCCGCGUGAGUGAAGAAGGUUUUCGGAUCGUAAAGCUCUGUUGUAAGUCAAGAACGUGU